rnacentral:rRNA from 1 species
GUUUGACCUCGGAUCAGGUAGGAAUACCCG